rnacentral:lncRNA from 1 species
CGAGCCUCUCCCGACAGAAUGGUCUUGGCAUGGACGUUGAAAUCCCCCAGCAGUAUUAGCCAUUGGGAUUCCAACACCAGGCCUGAGAUCACUCUGACUAGCUAAGGCAGGGAGACUACACCAACAUAUCAUAUCAUCUUCUCUUCUUAUCUUAUCUGAGGAACUGUUUUGGUGUUGUGCCUGUAAUAUUUCCACAGAGCUUGCCCUGACCAGGUGUUCUGGAUGCAAGCCAAGCUGUUCAGCCGGUGAAUAUGUGGCUUCAACAACAUCCUGCCAUGUACGGGAGUUUGUUUUCUGCUGCACACAAUCAGAUGAUACUGCAAAACCAAGUAAUGGGAGAAAGCAGUGCUUAGGAAAGUGCAAGUAUAACUGCGAUGAAGAUGAAUAUGUGGCUUCAAAGGCAACAUGCCAUCCUCAUGGAAUGGUUUACUGCUGCAAAAGAGAAGGAGAUGUGCCAUCAUAAUAUAGGAGCAAUUCCUUUGCAAAAGACAGAUGCUUCUUCAGCAACAAGUUGCAGCUUUUGUGAGAAGUGAUUCCGAAGAAGCUUUGAGCUGCCAAAAAGCCCUCCAUGAAUGAAACAUCUUUUUAAAAUGCUGUGAUAUCUUGCUGCUAAUAAAACCAAACCUGUUGAAAUAAAACCAAACUUCCAUGAAUGUAUUGGGUCCUCCUUUAAAUCAGUCCAAGUUGGUAUCCAUCACUGCAUCCUGUGACAGUGAAUUCUACAGUUUAUGUCCUAUGUGAAGAAAUUCUUCAUUUUAUCUGUCCUGAAUACAUAUAUAUAUCCUUGAAUAUUUUAUCCUUGCAUGCAAGGCUGAGUAGUUUUCCUCACCACUGAGGGAGAACAUGAAUCCUCCAGAAUAUUCUCCCUGUAUUUGAAUAUCCUGCAUUGUUGCAGAAAAAUAAUUUUGUACGGAGAAACAUGUUUAUGCAAAAAAUUAUUUCUGAGCAGAAUAUUUAGAAUGCAGAUAUUCUACCUUUCAAGUACAGUAUCAAGACCCUCCUGUGGAUACUUGAAACUGUGGACAGGGCCAUAGCCAGAAAAAAAAAAUUGGGUUUUUUUAAAAAAAAAAAUGGGGGGAGGGGGUUGAACCCCUAACAUCCAAUAGGCUGUUAGGAAUUGUGGGAGUUGUAUUCCAAAACACUUCGAGGGCCAAAGUUUGCCCAUGCCUGGAUUAAUAGGUCAUGAUCUGCACUUUGAAUUAUAUGUAACUAAACUUUAAAAGUGAAUGAAUGAAUUCCUAGGAAUGAAGUAAAAUGUAAACAGUUCUGUAUACAAAGUUCCCCACAUGAAGUCUAGUUUAAUAAUACAGUAGAGUCUCACUUAUCCAAGCUAAAUGGGCGAGCAGAACCUUGGAUAAGCGAAUAUCUUGGAUAAUAAGGAGGGAUUAAGGAAAAGCCUAUUAAACAUCAAAUUAGGUUAUGAUUUUACAAAUUAAGCACCAAAACAUGUUAUACAACAAAUGUGACAGAAAAAGUAGUUCAAUAUGCUGUAAUGUUAUGUUGUAAUUACUGUAUUUAUGAAUUUAGCACCAAAAUAUCAUGAUAUAUUGCAAAUAUUGACAACAAAAAUAUAUUGGAUAAUCCAGAACCUUGGAUAAGCGAGUCUUGGAUCAGUGAGAUAUCAGUGUAUAUUUUGCAUAUUUUAAUGGUAUUGUUCUUUUCAAUUAUAAGCUGCUUUUGGUCUCAUUUCUGAGAAAAUAUGCAUGCAAAUGAUCGUUAUCAUCAUCGAAACUUUUCCAGUUUAAAAAGUCCUUUGUGGAUUCAAAAGUACAAUAUCUAAUUUAAAAGUUUUCUAUUUUCUUAUUUCAUUGGUAACAAACUAUUCCAGUGUUUACUAAUAUACAAAGGACAAGAAGAUAAUUAUGAUUGCAUUAAAUCUUGACUUUUCCCGCUAUAUUUCCAGCUAUAGAUGAACCCAAAUUUGCUGAUGGGAAACCAAUAGAUAUUUAUGGAUACUGAGAAGUCUUUUAGUAUCCAUCUGCUGCUGCAAAUAUCUGGACUAUAAUUGUUUAAAAAGAAGGCUCUCGUCUUCAAGAAAACAUGCUAAAAAUUAAACUUCCAAUAUUUUGAAAAGUCAAUUUCAAUUUCUGUCGCUAAUAAAACCAAAUCUGCUUUGUAGGUGAACUUUAUCUACAUACUAAGUGGGAGGAAGAAGUGGAUUGGAAUUGGUCUAAGGUACCUUUGUCUUGUGGAAUUGAGAAGAAACACUUUGUCCACUUCAGUUAACAGAGCUUAUUGGGUUGACUGUGCAAAGAGGCUAACUCUGAAAAUGUGGACAGGAUCCUGUGGAUAUGUGAAAGCCAGUAGCUCUGCUGUAUAUAUUAUAUUUUGCAUGUCAUGACUAAGGAAACCUGGGGCUUGUACUUUUAUAUUCUGUGGCUGAAUGCUAUCUUUUUGUUUUACAUUUGGACUAUGAAAACAGCCCGACAGUAAAUGCUGCUUUAAUUAAACAGUUUGAUACAAGCUGGGUGUUUGUUUUGGUUCAUCUCUGCCUAUGUAACAGCAGAGCCCGGUAUCACGACAUUGUGUAAAACAAAGAUAGCACUCAGCCACAUAAUAUAAAACAAAACUGAUAGGAAACACCAAUGCAGGUUCAAGAAAACACCAUAGUCAAAAAGGUCCAGUCCAGU